rnacentral:miRNA from 1 species
CAUUCAACUAGUCAAUGU